GUGGGGAAUAUUGCACAAUGGGCGGAAGCCUGAUGCAGCAACGCCGCGUGCGGGAUGACGGCCUUCGGGUUGUAAACCGCUUUCAGCAGGGACGAAGCGCAAGUGACGGUACCUGCAGAAGAAGCACCGGCUAACUACGUGCCAGCAGCCGCGGUGAUACGUAGGGUGCGAGCGUUGUCCGGAUUUAUUGGGCGUAAAGAGCUUGUAGGCGGUUGGUUGCGUCGAAAGUGCAAACUCAGGGCUUAACUCUGAGCCUGCUUUCGAUACGGGCUGACUGGAGGAAGGUAGGGGAGAAUGGAAUUCCCAGUGGAGCGGUGGAAUGCGCAGAUAUCGGGAGGAACACCAGUGGCGAAGGCGGUUCUCUGGACCUUUCCUGACGCUGAGAAGCGAAAGCGUGGGGAGCAAACAGG
rnacentral:rRNA from 1 species